rnacentral:rRNA from 1 species
AAUAAUAUUUAUAAUAAAAAAUAAAAAGUUAGGUCANGGUGUAAUCUAUAUUAAAGUAAAUAAUGGGUUACAUUAAAAAUAAUUUAAGGAUUAUUAUACUAAAAUAUUUUAUAAAAAAGGAUUUAAAAGUAAUAAAAUAAUAAUAUUUUAUUAUGAUUUAGAUAAUAAAUGUGCACACAUCGCCCGUCGCUC